rnacentral:rRNA from 1 species
UACGGAGGAUGCAAGCGUUAUCCGGAUUUAUUGGGUUUAAAGGGUGCGCAGGUUGUUUGAUAAGUCAGUGGUGAAAGUCUGUCGCUUAACGGUAGGAUUGCCAUUGAUACUGUUGGACUUGAAUAUGGAUGAGGUAGGCGGAAUGUGUAGUGUAGCGGUGAAACGCAUAGAUAUUACACAGAACACCGAUUGCGAAGGCAGCUUACUAAUCCAUCAUUGACGCUGAGGCACGAAAGCGUGGGGAUCAAACAGGAUUA